GAUGAACGCUGGCGACGUGCCUAAUACAUGCAAGUCGAGCGAACAGAUGAGAAGCUUGCUUCUCUGAUGUUAGCGGCGGACGGGUGAGUAACACGUGGGUAACCUACCUAUAAGACUGGGAUAACUCCGGGAAACCGGGGCUAAUACCGGAUAAUAUUUUGAACCGCAUGGUUCAAUAGUGAAAGACGGUUUCGGCUGUCACUUAUAGAUGGACCCGCGCCGUAUAAGCUAGUUGGUAAGGUAACGGCUUACCAAGGCGACGAUACGUAGCCGACCUGAGAGGGUGAUCGGCCACACUGGAACUGAGACACGGUCCAGACUCCUACGGGAGGCAGCAGUAGGGAAUCUUCCGCAAUGGGCGAAAGCCUGACGGAGCAACGCCGCGUGAGUGAUGAAGGUCUUCGGAUCGUAAAACUCUGUUGUUAGGGAAGAACAAAUUUGUUAGUAACUGAACAAGUCUUGACGGUACCUAACCAGAAAGCCACGGCUAACUACGUGCCAGCAGCCGCGGUAA
rnacentral:rRNA from 1 species